UGGGGAAUAUUGGACAAUGGGCGCAAGCCUGAUCCAGCCAUGCCGCGUGAGUGAUGAAGGCCUUAGGGUUGUAAAGCUCUUUCACCGAUGAAGAUAAUGACGGUAGUCGGAGAAGAAGCCCCGGCUAACUUCGUGCCAGCAGCCGCGGUAAUACGAAGGGGGCUAGCGUUGUUCUGAUUUACUGGGCGUAAAGCGCACGUAGGCGGUUUGUUAAGUCAGAGGUGAAAUCCCGGAGCUCAACUCCGGAACUGCCUUUGAUACUGGCAAGCUAGAGUCCGGAAGAGGUAAGUGGAACUCCUAGUGUAGAGGUGGAAUUCGUAGAUAUUAGGAAGAACACCAGUGGCGAAGGCGGCUUACUGGUCCGGAACUGACGCUGAGGUGCGAAAGCGUGGGGAGCAA
rnacentral:rRNA from 1 species